rnacentral:rRNA from 1 species
GAUGGACGCUGGCGGCGUGCUUAACACAUGCAAGUCGAACGGAAAGGCCAGUGCUUGCACUGGUACUCGAGUGGCGAACGGGUGAGUAACACGUGGGUGAUCUGCCCUGCACUUCGGGAUAAGCCUGGGAAACUGGGUCUAAUACCGGAUAGGACAAUGGUUUGGAUGCCGUUGUGGAAAGUUUUUUCGGUGUGGGAUGAGCUCGCGGCCUAUCAGCUUGUUGGUGGGGUAAUGGCCUACCAAGGCGUCGACGGGUAGCCGGCCUGAGAGGGUGUACGGCCACAUUGGGACUGAGAUACGGCCCAGACUCCUACGGGAGGCAGCAGUGGGGAAUAUUGCACAAUGGGCGCAAGCCUGAUGCAGCGACGCCGCGUGGGGGAUGACGGCCUUCGGGUUGUAAACUCCUUUCGCUAGGGACGAAGCGUAUUUGUGACGGUACCUGGAGAAGAAGCACCGGCUAACUACGUG